rnacentral:rRNA from 2 species
UGGCUCAGAACGAACGCUGGCGGCAGGCCUAACACAUGCAAGUCGAACGCAUCCUUCGGGGUGAGUGGCAGACGGGUGAGUAACACGUGGGAACGUACCUUUUGGUUCGGAACAACCCAGGGAAACUUGGGCUAAUACCGGAUAAGCCCUUACGGGGAAAGAUUCAUCGCCGAAGGAUCGGCCCGCGUCUGAUUAGCUAGUUGGUGAGGUAAUGGCUCACCAAGGCGACGAUAAGUAGCUGGUCUGAGAGGAUGAUCAGCCUCACUGGGACUUACUCCCGGCCCANAGAACUACNGGAGGCANCAUCGGGA